rnacentral:rRNA from 1 species
CUCUGUUGUUAAAGAAGAACAUAUCUGAGAGUAACUGUUCAGGUAUUGACGGUAUUUAACCAGAAAGCCACGGCUAACUACGUGCCAGCAGCCGCGGUAAUACGUAGGUGGCAAGCGUUGUCCGGAUUUACUGGGCGUAAAGCGAGCGCAGGCGGUUUUAAGGUUCUUGAUGUGAAAGACCUUCGGCUCAACCGAAGAAGUAGCAUCGGAAACUGGGAAACGUUAGAGUGCAGAAGAGGACAGUGGAACUCCAUGUGUAGCGGUGAAAUAGCGUAGAUAUAUGGAAGAACACCAGUGGCGAAGGCGGCUGUCUGGUCUGUAACUGACGCUGAGGCUCGAAAGUAUGGGUAGCAAACAGGAUUAGAUACCCUGGUAG